GGCACUGUGGCUUAGUCGGUUAAAACACCUGUCUUGUAAACAGAAGAUCCUGGGUUCAAAUCCCAGCAGUGCCU